GCUUAGAAAAGGCUGUUAUGCUCUGCUUUAUCUUGCCCAGGAUGAUCCCAAAAAAUCGAUUCAACGGUUAUUUCUUCGAAUCAUACCCUUGUACAACUGCGUUGAAUCCCGUUGGACUUGUCUUUUUUUCUUGGUAAAGUGUACUUUACGAUCAGUGUUAUCUACCUCAAACCAGACGUCAACCGGAAAUAUUGGUCAUAGUGUUAAUAUUUCAUCGAUAGUAUUGUUCAAGUAACCGCAUGCAGAUCAAUUUCCUUGGUGCAUGAUCCAUUGAUCUCGAUCAAAUGGAAUAUAUUAAUGAAUGCAUCGAAUAACGGUUACGAUCAAUAACUAUCCUACGGGCUAAGACACUUUAUCGUCAAAUCUUCCAGAGCUCCGAAAAUUCCUCCGCAGUUCCUUAGGAAACAGAAUCCGCCAGGUUAAUUAUUUCAAAUUGAUUGAGUUUAAUCUACUUCCUAAUAUUCCACAUAAAUCCAAAAUUUUCUAUUCAAUGAUGUAUACAAUGGAAAACAUAAUGUAUUGAACAUUUAUGUAUGGUUAGAUACUAAUUACAUUUUCUCUAAUACGCUUGAGCAGGCACCAUGAUUAGAGCUAAAAAAAAAUAUUCAAUCAUUGGUGGCUUGAUGAAAUUGUUAAAAAUAGUUGCCAUCGGUUAGUGGUGUUUGAUGGACGGUUUUAUGAGUCCAUGAAUGGGUGAUGCGUAUCGUAUUUUUGAAGGUGAAACGGCACGUGAAAGGAGUAGAAUAAUGGUUUGGCAAUCGUUCAAGUAUUUAUAAGAAUUCAUCAAGAACAUAGAAUUCGUGAACAUGUGUACGGCUCGCGACAAGAAUCGUCUAUCACGAAGCCAAUAUCUUUCCAACUUAUGUUUUAUGUUACAAGUAUGACGAAGCGGAGAAUGAUCGAGGAAAGAGAAACGAUCGGUUAAACGUUACAUCGAGCUAAAAUUAUGAAUUAUAGUUGCGAAGGAAUUAGAUUCCUGUAACUUCGGAGAAGGAAGGCUCUAAUCCGUAAGAGAGCAAAUACAUAUUAGAAGAAUCUCGAAGGUCACCUGUAACAAUGAUCCAUAGAGAAGAGUUUUAUUGAGCACUAGAACGAUGACGAGCGAAGCAUAACUGUCGACGAAUGAUCAUGUAAUGUGUAUAACGUAAUGUUAUAACAGUAAUAAAGUGCGUGUGCACUGGUAGUAUAUCUGUAAUAGGUGUUGGCCAUUUCAACAUCAUGGCCAUCCAGAUACUUCCAGACGUCCGUAGGAUUAUUCUUAUUCAUUGUUUUCAUCCGUUAUAGAGACUUGAGAUGCUCACCAUGUUUCUGCAAUUAUAUAAUAUACUAUAUAAUUCGUUCCUUAUAAUUCAUUAAUGCGAGUCAUCACACGAAUGCUAUUGAUCAGACGUCAGCUGGUUACCGAGGAAAGUUUCACAAUCACAGAAUUAAAUUAUUCUAAGACUCUAUUUGACAUAAAACGCUUCUAAAUAUUUGUAAUAUUCCAAAUCUUCCAUAUAGCAUAUCUGAUCCACGUAAACAUCGUUGGAAUAGGUCAUCUUGGAUUAUUACUGUGAAAUAUAUCACGAUCUUAUUUGCAUUACAUUCCAACAUAUUUUGAUACCAUUCACUGUACAGUUUAUUUUCUAGGCAACUAUCCAAGGUAAAUGAAAUAAUCUUUCAAGAGCUACCAGCGAACUAGAUAUUAUUGGCGUGCCCGUUAUUUCGACGACGUCGACAUGCCCAGCGAUCAGUAAUUUUUUUCGUUUCAUUGUCCAUUGAUCCGAGCUCGAAACGAGACUAAUAGUACAUAGCCGCUUUGACGAAUAUUCCAGAAGACUAUUUUUGCUUUGAUCCUUGAAAAUUUCUUCGAGGUACUAGUUUAAAUGUCAAAGACUAGGAACAAUUUCCAAAGUAUAACCGAACGCAGUCUUACGUGAUGCUCAUUUCAAAUUGCAAUAUUGAAACGUUAAUCAAAGGGAGAAAUAAUGAUUGGGAAGAAUCAAAUGUGUCUCAGGUAACCGGACGUUACAUUGACAUGCAGACAACUAGACUAAGAAGAGGGUCAGAAUUACAGAUUUAUGCUAAUUGAUCGAAAUUUUUCCGUUUUCCUGCUUGUGUCGAUGAUUAGCACUUUGCGAAACGAUAAUUCCUCUCCAAGACAUCCGAGGAAUCUAAAUAACAAGUGGAGACGCGCUAAGAAUCGUCAUGUUAUUUUCCUUCCGACGUGUUUCACAACGUCUGUCUUCAUCUUAGAGUAAAUAUUGCAUCUCUGUAACCUUCGAAAGAUGCAAACCACAAAACUCGUAGGUCCCUCUCUCGAGAUCUGCGGCCGUGGUACUUAGAUCUUAAUCGAUGCGUCCGUGAAUUUAACGCAUGAACCUUUCACCGAAACGUCACGAUCUCGUGACCCUUUUGCAUCCAUGGUAUCCACAGUUACGUCAGUUUUCUUUCUUCGUGUACCGGUUCGUCCGAACGUUAUAACUUGUUGAGGCACGAAAUAUUCACGGUCACAAUCAACUGCAGCCUUCGUCGGGACGAGCUUUCACUUCAAGUCGCAUCAAUGAAACGAUAAGUUUUUUCUGCGAGGAUCAUAAGAAGGAAAUAAUAAUCAUAAGAAUGGAACGUAAUAAAAAUUCGAACUUGAUCUAGUGUAUCGACAAACGGUCUUAUGCAACGCGUUAGAAAUAAAGUUACAUGAAAGGUUCGACGCUGUAAAUCGUAAACAGCACAGAUGGCUAAUGUAGCGCUAUGUAUGCGAACAGAAGAUAAAUUGCUCGGGCACAAUAAGGAUAAAUUUUGCUAUACGUGAUAUCGACAAGAGAUUAUUCGAAUCUGUCCAUUGGUAACUUGCUGUUAGAAUCGACAACCUAUCAUUUAUUUGGACAUUUCUUUUCCACCGACGCCUCCUCCUUUCGUUCAUCGCAAAUCGACCGAUUCUUUUCCAACUCAACUUGUGACUCUCCCACUGUGUCAAAACUAAAAGUUCGAUGAACUCGAAACAGGACAAUUCAUCCUCGUUGAGCAUCAGAUUGCAGUCGUAAAUCGUAGGGAAGUCUUCCUGUUAAAAUCCGCUGACAGAAUACCUUUUCCUAUCUAUGAAAUUUUUAUUUUACAAUCCUCUUACGCUCUUUCCAUAACAAUCGUUGUUAACUUGAAAUGAAGGACGUAAUGAUGAAAUCAUCAUAGUCCUAUCUUGUCAAGGAUCGCUUUAAUACUUCUCAGAUCAUUAUCGGUUCCUCAGUCAACCUUCCUAUGCUAAUUUUCCGCCGGACGAAGGCACUACUGCGCCUUAUUUCAUAUUAGAAACACAGGAAUCAGAUUCCAAGGACGAUGAAUAAUAUUCCACAAAUUGUCCAGGCAUUGGACCUGAUUCUGCCACAGUUAGUAUGCAAGCCCAUAAACGGGAGAAAUGAGAAGUGGCGCUGGAAAUAAGUCAGUUCUGAUUUAACGAUCAUAAAUGUGCGAACUAGUAUAUCGGCAAAGGCCGCGCCCUGCGCAUCCGUUUCCCAGUGGCCUACUAAAACCAACGUUCUCCUUCUCUCUCUCUCUCUCUUUCUCUUUCUCUCUCUCGUUCUCUUCAUGUCUGUACGUCGUGGAUGAAAAUAACACCAUCAAAGCAGGAAGGCAAGCUAGCUGGUUUACGGAUUAGAAACGUGAAGGGGAGGUGGGUCGCAGGAAUGAUAGCGCUCCUAUCAAUAAGUCAGGCCAAGAGAAAGAUCGAAAUCGACUGAACUUCGGAUGAUCAACUUUUUAUCUUUACCUAAUGGAUAUUGUGCGAGCUGUAGGCAUCUCGUGUCUAUCAGUAAAAGUGGCUUACACCGGAUUACCUUUGAUUUUAAGCAGUCAAAACCGUGAAAUCGUUGGUCAGUGAUUUUCACUAGGGCAACGAUUCGUACUGAACUGAAAGUAAUACGCUGGAAUUGUGCUUCCGGAGUUUUCGAGCUGCUGAGCUUUUCAAAUGUCUUCCAAGUAUCGACCGGAGGCUGGCAGACCUGUUCGAGUUCGCGUCGAUUUUAUUCUGUAUCGUAGUUUUUGAUUCUACGGCCAGGAGAAGAGCGCUGAACAUAUCUCCCACAUUCCCAGUGGAUGCUAAUUUAGGUCGUGGUGUCACACAUCCCGAAAAGUGAAACGAAGGUUUCGCAGUAAUGCUGUUAGCGCAAGCGUUACGAAAAAUUAGCACAAUGACGAUGCAGGAAACAUGUGAUAAAGAGUUUCAUGACAUUCGAUUCGCAAUUGUUAUUCCCAUGGAUCAUGAAGGGUACGUCUAAACGAGAUUAGAAAAGAAGAAAACAAAACUGGGACGUUGGAUGCCUUCGGGUAGCAUCGUUUUCACUUACAAUUCAACUCAUUUCGCACUCAAUUAGCGAUCACGAGUAUUAACUCUCUGUAUGGAACUUCUUCACAGAUGGUUAUGUUCUAAAUCAUCUUUAAUUUACUGUGAACAGAUCAGGAGAUCUCUCGGGUUUUUUUUCUCAGUGUCUUAUAAAACUUAAAGUUAUAUGUAGCUUUAUACAGAAUUAUUAUUUUAUCCUUGAAGGAAGUUGAUUAUCGAAACGUUCGUUUCUCCGUCAUGUAACAAAAAUACUAGUCGAGAAUUACCAACCAGUUGGCUGGUGAUAAUACGAUAAACGAGCAUGUCUGCAAACAUUGGACGUGUUAACUCUCCGAUUGGAUCAUUACCGCUUCGAAGCCCAAAGCGGGAGAAAUGUUUCGACGCUUCCAGAGAUUUUUACGCUCCAUCGGGGAACGCAGACCGUUUAAUUAAAUUGAGCGACGUUUCGUGGGAGACUACGUAAUCCAGGGGAAAUAUUCAAUGAACUCCAAUGUCGAGACAGCUCGGUGCCCCUGAUUAACAGCAAACGAAUAAAGAAAUCUUAGUAGUUAAUUUCAUUUCUUCGGAAUCGAAUGGUGUUCCAAUUUAGAAUUCAUCCCAGGAGAACGUAUUUUGAUAAACGAAAUUUUCGAUCAACGAAAUGGAAUAAAAUCUUAGUGACUGUAAUAGAAUAUUUAUCACUUGGACGAUGUACAUAGUGAAACUUAAUUGCUAUUCCCUGAAAUGUAUUUCUAUCGGACAUUGUAUUAACUUAAAGUUGACAGAAGGUUCAACGAAGUUGAAAUCAACGUACCUAUUAAUCAAGAUAACUUAAUGAAAGAGUAGGAAAUUGAAAUACUUGAGUUUUCUAUCCUGCCUACUGCUCCUGGCAAUUCAGCAAUAGAUUUAAUUUCAACCGAGUGACGAGGAAAACGUACCAACGUCGAAUGAACUGGUAAUAAUAUUUCAAUCCAAAUUCGUAACUGAUUUCAUCCCCGAAAAUCCAUUUUCAACCCUCGAUUACAGGAACAAGAUGAAAGGUAUGGUAGUUUAUUUGAAAUAAUGAACUUUCAAAGAGAAUCAUUGACGGCUGUAGUAAGUGCAGUAAUUUCUUUUCUAUUUAUUUCAAAAGCAUUGUUUUUAAACUUUCUAUAUAUAGAAGAAAUAAUUGCUGAAUGUAUUAAAAGCCUCAGGUAUUUAACUUAAGAUAAUACGAUUAUUAUACGUCUAUAUUGUCCUAUUUUAUAAACAGAGAAUCACUCACAAAAUUAUGGCACUCUUCCAGGAACAUCACCCGAAAUUCGCCGACACAAAAUUGCGCAUUAAUAUCGAGAAUUCUAGAUAUCAAACAAUAUAGAAACAAGAACGCAGAAAAAUCCUCUCAUAGCCUUGCUUUGCGUGAGUGCAUUUUAAAGGAGGUCGCUCUACCAUGAUAUAGUGUAUUUUCGCUGCAGCAGUCGUUGUGGCGUCGUUGCUGUAUAAGGGAACAGCUUGGUGCUUUUACGCAAUAAGUAGACACACAAACGUGUUGUUUCUUGGCGAGAUAAUACGUGUGUUGUUGGUUACAAGAAAAAAAUUUCUACGAUUAAAAACAUCAACAUGGUCACUUAGAAAAAUGGUCCGGUGACCAAGGUAGUCAAGACCUUGAAGACUAAAGCUGACUAGUUUGCUUCAAAGAAAUCAUCUGUCUUGAAUGUAAUGGUUCACGUCAUAUCUCAACGAUGCUCUAUCUUGCGCAACAUCCUUCAUUUUAAACCUACAAAGUUACAUCGAGUAAAUUCUAACAUCUCCUCCUUAUUUCAUUUUCAUCGCUGACUUAUUUGAAAAUCGUAUCAACAGGUUUUGAUAAGGAUCCAGAAUUUAUUAACCGUAUGAAAAAUCCAGUGAUUUCAUGCCAGAAACUUUCAUUUUUAUUAUCAUACACAUCGUUGCGCUAUAAAGAUGUGGCUGAUGAAACAUCGUGUUUAUUGAAAUUAAUAACGAGGCAAUUGAAAGUGUGUCGCGACUUUGUUUCGGCGUGAAAGGAGGGAACGAUUGUCUGCUUCUUGUCGUGUCGUGCUGAUCCAUGAAUAGAGGCUUUCCCAUGGAGAAAAUCUAUUAUUUUCAUAAGUACGCCCUCUCAGAACGCGCGAAGGAACGGAUUACGUAAUGUAUUUUCAUUUUACGUAACGACCAUUACAAAACUGUAAGCAAUGAGUCAUCUUCCAGUCAAAGUCAGAGAUCAGUCUGAUCUAGUUUCUCCUGUCGGGUAUGAAUCGCAAAGGAGUAAAGUACGAUCUCUUGUAAAUCUAAACUCUAAUAAUUUUCAUCAGUACUUAAGUAAAAUGUCUUAUAAUUUAAUUUA